rnacentral:misc_RNA from 1 species
GAUGAAGAACGUAGCGAAAUGCGAUAAGUAGUGUGAAUUGCAGAAUUCAGUGAAUCAUCGAAUCUUUGAACGCACAUUGUGCCCCUUGGUAUCCCGAGGGGCAUGCCUGUUCGAGCGUCAUUUCACCACUCAAGCCUGGCUUGGUGUUGGGCGACGUCCCCUUUGGGGACGCGCCUUGAAACGCUCGGCGGCGUGGCACCGGCUUUAAGCGUAGCAGAAUCUUUCGCUUUGGAAGUCGGGGCCCCGUCUGCCGGAAGACCUACUCGCAAGGUUGACCUCGGAUCAGGCAGGGAUACCCGCUGAACUUAAGCAUAUCAAUAAGCGGAGGA